GAUGAACGCUGGCGGCGUGCCUAAUACAUGCAAGUCGAGCGAACAGAUGAGGAGCUUGCUCCUCUGACGUUAGCGGCGGACGGGUGAGUAACACGUGGAUAACCUACCUAUAAGACUGGGAUAACUUCGGGAAACCGGAGCUAAUACCGGAUAAUAUAUUGAACCGCAUGGUUCAAUAGUGAAAGACGGUUUUGCUGUCACUUAUAGAUGGUUCCGCGCCGCAUUAGCUAGUUGGUAAGGUAACGGCUUACCAAGGCAACGAUGCGUAGCCGACCUGAGAGGGUGAUCGGCCACACUGGAACUGAGACACGGUCCAGACUCCUACGGGAGGCAGCAGUAGGGAAUCUUCCGCAAUAGGCGAAAGCCUGACGGAGCAACGCCGCGUGAGUGAUGAAGGUCUUCGGAUCGUAAAACUCUGUUAUUAGGGAAGAACAAAUGUGUAAGUAACUAUGCACGUCUUGACGGUACCUAAUCAGAAAGCCACGGCUAACUACGUG
rnacentral:rRNA from 1 species